UACGGAGGGAGCUAGCGUUGUUCGGAAUUACUGGGCGUAAAGCGCACGUAGGCGGCGAUUUAAGUCAGGGGUGAAAGCCCAGUGCUCAACACUGGAACUGCCCUUGAGACUGGAUUGCUUGAAUCACGGAGAGGUGGGUGGAAUUCCGAGUGUAGAGGUGAAAUUCGUAGAUAUUCGGAAGAACACCAGUGGCGAAGGCGGCCCACUGGACGUGUAUUGACGCUGAGGUGCGAAAGCGUGGGGAGCAAACAGG
rnacentral:rRNA from 1 species